AGAACGAACGCUGGCGGCAGGCUUAACACAUGCAAGUCGAACGCGUGUAGCAAUACACGAGUGGCGCACGGGUGAGUAACGCGUGGAUAUCUGCCUUUUGGUUCGGAAUAACCCCGGGAAACUGGGGCUAAUACCGGAUGGUUCCUACGGGAUAAAGAUUUAUCGCCAAAAGAUGAGUCCGCGUCCGAUUAGCUAGUUGGUGGGGUAAUGGCCUACCAAGGCGACGAUCGGUAGCUGGUCUGAGAGGACGAUCAGCCACACUGGGACUGAGACACGGCCCAGACUCCUACGGGAGGCAGCAGUGGGGAAUAUUGGACAAUGGGGGCAACCCUGAUCCAGCCAUGCCGCGUGAGUGAUGAAGGCCUUCGGGUUGUAAAGCUCUUUUGGCGGGGACGAUGAUGACGGUACCCGCAGAAUAACGCCCCGGCUAACUUCGCGCCAGCAGCCGC
rnacentral:rRNA from 1 species